rnacentral:tmRNA from 1 species
CCAAUAGACUACACACGGAGAAAGGUGUGUAUCAGGACCUCUGGACGCGGGUUCGAAUCCCGCCGUCUCCACUA